CAUCCUCACAGUCUUGAAGUGGCAAAUAAAAUAUACUGCAUGAAUUCCUCUUCUCUGCCGAAGUCUACACACAUUUGAUCUCAGUGUGUUUGCCGUCUGCCAAACAACUUUGAGAUUUUCUCUGAGUGGGUCCUCUCAGUUAUGGUUUGGCUCAGUAAGCCAGCCGCAGCGGCUCGGCUGAGUGUGUGUUUUCCUUUGGUUCUUUAUCUGCCACAUGGUCAAAACAUGGCUUUGGCUUUUAAUAAAACAAAACUCGUUUUGUGCGUUGCCAUGUCGGCUUCCCUGGAGCUCAUAAUCAUCAUUUGGAAUUGGAAAGCCGCUACUCCAUCAUUUUCCGCUCUCACUUUGAUAACGAAUAAAUUCUCCUUCAGAAAUCUUUGUGUGUGUGUGUGUGAAUAAUCACAUAUGCUUCCCAAAACUCCCCUUUCCACUUUGCUGCCUGUCAGCAGUUGUUUCUUGUCUGUGCCGAGGCUCAUCUUCACUGUCUGAUCUACUUCCCGGUUUCCUUCCCAGUCCUAACAAAAACAACUCUGCAGUUCUAGACAGCGGGACGUCAUAACGUGGCUAAAGCCAGACUGGGGAAUCCCUCAGGGAAGGGUGGAGGGGUUAUAAAUGAAGGUCACAACCUUGAUGGGAAUGACAUCACUGAGAACAGAGAGGUACACCUUCCAGAUAUUGUGAGUAAGUUUGUAGUCACACAAACACUUUCAUAUGUCACACCUGAACAACAGCACAGCCACUCUUUAACAUGCAACUAUUAGUGCUGUUAGUUUGUUUCUGUGCAGGUGUUUGUUUGAUAGAAAUCCACCGAGAUCUUCUCAGGAUAGCAGCAGCUCAGAGAAAAGCUGCAGUGACAGCACUUUCUUGGGGCAAACACUCACACGCAGUUUUUACUGUCAACAUAAAAGACCGCAGAUUUUCUGACUUUGUCUGCGUCUGCAACUCCUGUUAAGCCUCAGGGAGCCUUUGCGUGAUCCUGUAACUGAGCACCAUUCCCGAUGCCCAGGACCCGGCAUGUCUUCAACAAGCCUGGACAUGGAUGCCCUGGAGUGAAUCAGUGCCUGCAAAAAUCAUCCAACUCCCCCACAAACACCCACAUAUUUCAUCCACUCAUACGUGCACACACACACAAACACACGCGGCACACCGCUCUCACUCACAGUCACACUCUUACUCACAUAUGUAAAUGCACUUUUGCUGGUGCACCACCUUGUACACAGCAUGAACUGAGCACACAUGUUCACACACAGCAACAAUGUAUUCAUACGGCACAUUUCAAAAACAACGUUACGAGGAUCUGCUCAAAGCAGAAAUUAAAAUACACCUGAUUUUUUUCCUUUUUAAAAACAAGAUAUAUAAAGCAUAUCUGGACCAAUCGCAGCGCCCUGUGCCUCAGCUCAGCCUGCUAUCAGGCAUGUUUUUGUAUCUCGCCCUCAGCUGACAAUUAUUGUUUGCCGCACUUGGACAAAGAUCCCGUUGCUAAAUAGAAGCGGAGGGUUGGUAUUAAGAGCCGUCUGCAGGUUGUGAUGAAGGCAGGCAGAGGCAGCCACAGGCAGCACAAUUAGCACUUUGUGGUCUGUUAGUGGCACACUAAUUUUCUCACAUUUAAUGUAGUUUACCUUAAGUAGUGCAUUUAGGAGGCCCUGAACCAAAUAUAGACUCUCACUGGGUUAUUUGGAAGUCUACUUCAGUCACAAAUUACUGUCUAAUUGUUUGCAAGGCACACUUGUUUACUAGUUUUCAGACAGAGAGUGGUGUCUGGCUUCCUUUGACGCUGAUAGAUUUAAAGGAUGCUCCAGUUGCACAUUUUUUUGAAAUGAACUGAUUAACUUUUAGAUUAGAUCGAUUAGAUGAGAAGACUUGUAGACAGAGAAGAUUGAGUCCUCAGCUAUCAUCAGCUAACAUCACAGUGUGACAUUUAUCAAGCAAAGCAUAAGUUCAGGUGAGCUGCAAAGUCAGUCUGGUUUCAUAGCCAGCCCACACCCUCUGGUUGGCUCAGGUAAAUACCAUCAUGCACAUCCACUGGGCUAAUCUCCUAUAUGGCUCUAGUUAAGCUGCUUUAGCCUGUGCAUAGGUGUUGCUGCCCCUGCAAGCUGCUUUGCAACCCACCUCCAGCUCAGCUCCUUGCUUUGUCCUGUCUGACUUAAUUGCAGUCAUAUCUGUUGUUACUGAUGCCCGCUCUGGGGUCUUACUGCUGUUCUCCCUGCUGUAUGCUUUCUACUUAUGACUGCGCAGCAGUGGGAAGGUCCCAGAACAGAGGGAUACCGCCCAUUAUAUUUUACUACAUAUGGAAAUAACAGUUUUAUCUAUACUUUAUUCAGGUUUAACGAACAAGACUUGUUAAUUACUGACAUUUUCAGUUGUAGAGGUCUGGGUGUAAUUUCUUUGCUUUGCACCACCACCACCACCACCAGCCCUCCAGUUCCAGUUAAACAAACCAGACCAGCUGUUAGCUGUGGUUUCAUAUUUAGAGUAUACACAAGCAGGCUUGAUCUUCUCGUCUGGCUUUUUAGCAAAUGUGAAACUACUCCUUUAAUGUGGGAGGUACAUGUAAUACAUUUCUUUAACCUUUCAACUCGCACAGACCUUUCAAGUCAUUUUAAAAAAAUGUCAGGGACUUUAAGAAAACCAGCUGCACACGACCACCAGAACAACAGACAGAAAUCGAAGCCCUGAGAUAGUUUUCCCUGAAGUCAAGAACAAACAACAUCUUCCCCCUUCAUAUCUCACUCUGAAAGUUUGGACUUAGUCAUCUUCACAGUGCCUGUCAAACAGUUUGCUGCUUUGUCAUUCCUCAUCGCCGUGUCAGCCUGGGCAAAGAGGUCUCCGUAUUUCUAACCACAUCUACCUCCGUCACUGAGAAAUGUUUGUCGCUGUGAAAUUUUGAAGAAUUAUCUUAUUCAGAUCGAUCUUGUGUUUUUCACGAGAAAAGAAAAAAGGGAGAGCUUCGUGUUCGGGGGCCACGAUGCUUCCUGCACAUGUUUUGAAGUGCAGGUUUUUUAAUGGAGCUUUUGCUCGAUGUUUGGCUGUAAAGCGCAAGGACAGAAAUAGCUAAACAAUGCCUGGCGGCUACAGGCUCGCAUCUAUAAUGACCCCCGCCUUGUGAUUGAAGAGGCCCCUCUAAAAGGCAUAGCAGGUGGAAGUGUAGGUGGUCUCCCCCUAGCACUCUCCUCAUACUGCAUAUGCACACACACAGCUGCCCCGCAAUCUGCACAACACACACACAAGCACGCUGGCGGUGUAUGCGCUGCUACUGCUGCUGCUGUUUUCGCUUCACUUCUUGACACUCAUAGUUAAACGCACAACAUGACCUUAAACAUGUACUAAGCAGCUAAAAUAACUGAGAAAGUCUGUUCUUACUUUAUGAUUAUCUUUACUCUCUAUGGCUUCUUGGGUUUUUCACAGUAAUAGUAGUAGAGGAGACUGAUUCUGAUCACCAACUCACAAACUUACUACACUACAAGCCAAGCUGCUCUCUAUUUAUUCAUCAUUUUACAAGCACGUAGGCUUGCAUCUCACUCGGCGACAGAUCCAUGCAUCUUGCAAGAAUACGUGUAAGAAUAUAUUAUAUUCUUGCAUCUCGGCUCGUCACAGUAAAACAGAGCGUCUGCGAGGAGCCGUCAACUUUCUCUUCUGCGCGUCUCAGAUGAACGGGCCAAAGUGGAAGUGGAAAUCUGCUGUAGUUGAGCCAGUGAGUCAGCUUACAACGCACCCGUUUGAAGGGAAACCACAGAAAAGGCAGUGCCAAAGAGACUUGUAAAACCAAAGAAACCAAGUCUCCAAAGCCUGAAAGCCUGUGAGCAGUCAUUCAAACCAAAGAUCUGAAGCAACGGCACCAUGAAGCUAUCCACCUACCUCCUCUGCCAUCCACCAAAAAUGUCGGUGACCAACAGGUAUGAGAUGAGCCCUUAAAGGAUGUGAUGUCAACCCCUCCUCUCCCCAGAUGGCUGUUUCCCAUACAGCGGGACCCUACCUUCAAAUGUCAACUUCACGAGUACAUCAGUACUGACCUCGACAGUCAAGCUGUGAUUUUGCAGUGUGAUGAUGAUGAUGAUGAUGAUGAUGCAGUAUUUCUAACUGUGAAGCAGUGGGAAAAUAUCCAGUGCAAGCUGCUAUGCAUCCCCUUCUUUGCACGCUACAGACUAUGGAAACCCUUCGAUGUCUGGCACAAAAAUGUUUGUGCCAAAAAGAUAACUUUGGCCAUGGAGUCACUAUAAAAAAAUUGUGUUUUGUAUUUCUAUUUUCAGAUGCAUUGAAAAAUUGUCAGAUUUUUGGAUAUGAUUGAGCUAUUCUGGUUAUGUUGAAUUUUAAUUUGAAAUUAACAUGGGAUUUUAUUUGUAUAUUUGUAUGUUUUUAUAUGUGUCUGGAAGGCAUAUAUAAAUAGGCAAUAAAUAUGAAAACGCACCCUCUUUGAAAGUCAACCUAAAAAAUGACGUCUACCUGCAAAGUAUCAAGCAAAGCAUCCAGGUGGUUUUACUGCAUUGUUUUCCUUAGAUGCCUGACAGCUUUGAAUUGCCCUGAUGUAUUUUUCUCCUUCAAAAACCAUUCCAGAUUGUAUUUGCUGCUGCGAAUGUGUACUCACACAUGUUUGAGCACUUUCUGAGAAUCUAUAAGGAGAAUGAAAGUUUGGAUUUGGAUGCAGUGCUUAUUAACUUAUUACUUAUUCCAUUGAAAUUUACAUUUUUUGUCAUUAUUGUUUUGUUUUUUGUUGGUUUUUUCCUACAUUUUACUGUGGAUUGUUUUUGGAAAUUUGGAAAGUUUUUGACCAUAAAAUGUGAUUUAAGGUCAUCAGUCACACGCUCACCCAACUCGCUAAGAGGAAAGCUGAGGCCAUAAUCACUGACGUUCGUGAGGCCAAAGUUGAAGGACAGAUCAGUCCCUCUACUACAGCUCAGCUGGUUGACUUUCUCACAUUUCUGGAUGAGAUUGAGGAGACGGUGAGAUGUUCCUGUUUAACAAUUAAAUGUGAUAAACCAACAAAACACAGCAGCUUGUUUUCUUUUUCCUCAGCUUUCUUUUUCUGAUUUACUCAACUCCAUAUUUCCAUUUCUCGUUUUGCUAACAAAGAGCUGAAAUCAGUUUGCAAAAUGUACGAUCUGAUCAACGUGCACUCAGUCCCCACACCACCAGAAAUU